rnacentral:rRNA from 1 species
GCGUGCUUAACACAUGCAAGUCGAACGGAAAGGCCCUGCUUUUGUGGGGUGCUCGAGUGGCGAACGGGUGAGUAACACGUGAGUAACCUGCCCUUGACUUUGGGAUAACUUCAGGAAACUGGGGCUAAUACCGGAUAGGAGCUCCUGCUGCAUGGUGGGGGUUGGAAAGUUUCGGCGGUUGGGGAUGGACUCGCGGCUUAUCAGCUUGUUGGUGGGGUAGUGGCUUACCAAGGCUUUGACGGGUAGCCGGCCUGAGAGGGUGACCGGCCACAUUGGGACUGAGAUACGGCCCAGACUCCUACGGGAGGCAGCAGUGGGGAAUAUUGCACAAUGGGCGGAAGCCUGAUGCAGCAACGCCGCGUGCGGGAUGACGGCCUUCGGGUUGUAAACCGCUUUCGCCUGUGACGAAGCGUGAGUGACGGUAAUGGGUAAAGAAGCACCGGCUAACUACGUGCCAGCAGCCGCGGUGAUACGUAGGGUGCGAGCGUUGUCCGGAUUUAUUGGGCGUAAAGGGCUCGUAGGUGGUUGAUCGCGUCGGAAGUGUAAUCUUGGGGCUUAACCCUGAGCGUGCUUUCGAUACGGGUUGACUUGAGGAAGGUAGGGGAGAAUGGAAUUCCUGGUGGAGCGGUGGAAUGCGCAGAUAUCAGGAGGAACACCAGUGGCGAAGGCGGUUCUCUGGGCCUUUCCUGACGCUGAGGAGCGAAAGCGUGGGGAGCGAACAGGCUUAGAUACCCUGGUAGUCCACGCUGUAAACGGUGGGUACUAGGUGUGGGGUCCAUUCCACGGGUUCCGUGCCGUAGCUAACGCUUUAAGUACCCCGCCUGGGGAGUACGGCCGCAAGGCUAAAACUCAAAGGAAUUGACGGGGCCCCGCACAAGCGGCGGAGCAUGCGGAUUAAUUCGAUGCAACGCGUAGAACCUUACCUGGGUUUGACAUGGAUCGGGAGUGCUCAGAGAUGGGUGUGCCUCUUUUGGGGUCGGUUCACAGGUGGUGCAUGGCUGUCGUCAGCUCGUGUCGUGAGAUGUUGGGUUAAGUCCCGCAACGAGCGCAACCCUUGUUCACUGUUGCCAGCACGUUAUGGUGGGGACUCAGUGGAGACCGCCGGGGUCAACUCGGAGGAAGGUGGGGAUGACGUCAAGUCAUCAUGCCCCUUAUGUCCAGGGCUUCACGCAUGCUACAAUGGCUGGUACAGAGAGUGGCGAGCCUGUGAGGGUGAGCGAAUCUCGGAAAGCCGGUCUCAGUUCGGAUUGGGGUCUGCAACUCGACCUCAUGAAGUCGGAGUCGCUAGUAAUCGCAGAUCAGCAACGCUGCGGUGAAUACGUUCCCGGGGCUUGUACACACCGCCCGUCAAGUCAUGAAAGUUGGUAACACCCGAAGCCGGUGGCCUAACCGUUGUGGGGGAGCCGUCGAAGGUGGGACUGGUGAUUAGGACUAAGUCGU